AGUAACAAGCAAAACAAUAUUGAAAAACUUUUGAGUUGUCUUUAUUGUGUUCAAUGUUUUUGGCAGCAAGCUUAGUGCAUCUUUUGGAGCAUGAUACAAGUGUCAUGCACCUUUUUCCUGGUAUUUAUAAACUGGCUGACAUUGAUAUCUCCCUAAGCUUCAGCUCCAAGCUAAACAUACAAAACUGAUGAUUGCAUUAUUUAUGCUCCAACCUGAAACACAUAGACACCUAGUGAUAUAGUACCCUCUCUGCUGAUUUAGGCUUUUUUUUUUAACCCCAUUUAAUAAGCAUUUGAAUCACCUGGGAAUCUUGUUAAAGGGCAGAUUCUAGUUCUGUGGGUCUAGGGUCAACCUCACAAUUUUCAUUAUGACAAGCUCCCAGAUGACUGGUCUCCUGGCCUUGGGCUUCAUUAUGUAAUGUCAGAGUUCUAGCUGAGGGAGACUUGAGUCAGGAAGGUCCAGGAGAUCCAGAACCUAUGCUGUCUCCCCUAAUCGAACUGCCUGUUGAGACCAGGAUAUAGACCACAUCUUGGGACUGAUCCAGACACAGUGUCUAUCACUGAAACUCUCUGAAUUGGAAACUGUGGAGCUAAAGGAAAGAUGGCACUUGUGAUUGUUUGGGAAUAUUUACAUAAGCUAUGCAUACAUACAUGCAUGUAUAUAUACAUACAUACACACACUGAUUUUAACCUACAGUGAUUUUAAUCUAUUUGUUCUUUUAGCACCUAUAUUAUUUUAUUAAAAAAUUGAAGUUUUAAACAGUUAUAGAAGUUACCUCUGCCAUUCAAUGUAAAAGUUGCCAUUUACAAACUAGACAGUCUAAUCAUCCUUUGGGGGAGAUAGUCUGAAUUCUAAGAUAUGACUGUGUAGGAAUUUGUCCUAAGGUGUCGCCAGUGUCACCAGAUGAGGAUAAACACGACUCUCUAUCCAGUGCUGUUUCUUAAUCUGCUGCUGCCCCUGUGCUGUCUUAGCAAGUUCUAGAUGAGUUCCAAGGCUAAGAAAACUCCCUUGGUUAGAGUUUGCCAAACAAGAAGGCUGUUUUGAAAGGGUUGUUGGAAAAGAGGGCUCACUGGACACAGCACUUUCCGGGGAGAUGAGAUUCAGAGAGUGUAUAUAGGAAGUGCGAAUGUAGGCAUUAAUUCCCUUUAAGCUCCCCAGGCAGCUCUGCAAGUUUGUGUAUCCUUGGGGGUAUAUGUACCUCCAUUUAAAGACUACUGUCUUGGAGUACUCAUGUUCAUGCUCAAAUACUGACAUUACAGGAUUACAGGAACAUUCACUGAAUCCUAUCCAAUAAAAACAGGUUGUGGAAGCUGAUUUUUAUGGACACAAAUGUGAGGUAAUUAAAUCCAAACUGGCUUAAAGCAGUGUCUUAUUACAGCUUUUCUUUAGAGUUUCUUUUAUGGCUCAAAAUUGUUUUAACUUACUGUGGUUUAUCACUAUUAUUAUGUGCAAUGCCAGUUACUUGCUUUUUCAAAAAUAUCACAUCUGUCAUCUUGAGUGUUUUUUUGGUACCAACCAUAAUGCUGGCCUUUCAAUAUAAAUUACACAUUCAGAGGGUCCUUUCAGUUUUUAUUUAUACACAUAUAUGUCAACAUGCAUCAGCCUAUAUUUUAUCUCCUCAGUGUGACAUGGUUAAUAAUAUGCAGCAUAUAAUGCACAUACAAAACAGAUGGUGCCCAUCUAGAUGCUGUAUAGCCAAUCAUACCCAUAGAAUUUAUAUUACAGUUCUCAUUAUUUAUGUACAUCAUAAUCAACUCCACUAAAAUAUUAUCUUCUUAAGACUCAAAAAAGUGUUUUCUACAGUGGUUACCGAAAAGCCCUCUGGAAGGAACCAAAUAAGUGUUGUUGUUUUUUUUUAAAGAAUGAGUGAAUGAAUAAAUAAAACAAUGGACAAAUAUGCCACCCUAUUGAGCGUGCCUCAGAUUGCCCUAGGCAGUUUUGCUCAUUUUUAAAGAUGAUUUUUCUCGGGCUUAACAUGUAUGUGGUUUUAAGUAUUUAAGAAAAUGUGGCGUGAGUCUUCCCCUCUGUGUUUUCUAAAUACAAAUACAUUAUUGUCUGUUUCGUAAUUAUGGAGCAUCAAAAAAAAAAAAACAAAACAAAAAAAUAAAACAAAACCUACUCUAACUAUUCCUUUCUUCUUUACAUUCUUCAAUACAACUCUGGUUACUUGGUUAUGAGAGGUUUAAAUGGUCACAUGCUAGUUCCUCACUCUCCUUUGAUUAUUUCAACGCUGCAAAGAAGCAGUUCUUUUACUUUCCCUCUCAGCUGAGAGCUCUGAUGCAUUCUACUUGAGUAUUGUUUUCCUGUUGGCCCACACAGAUCAGAUUAGAGUAAGUGUCAAGCAAUAGUAAAAAGUCCGUGCUCACUAGUGGCACUGUGUUACAUCUAUUCCUACAGGGACCAAACUGAAAGAAGUGAACAACUUUAGUCACUUUGGUUCUUUUCGCCCAGCCUUUUAAAGAGACAAAUACUCCACUGCUUUUGUAACGUGGAUCUUGAGUUUAGCAGUUGAUGUUUAAAUAUGGCAAUACUCAAUUUACAAGAAAGUCUUCUAGACUAGGGCUAUUAUGAGGUAAAGGGGGGGAAAAGAAAUCUGUUAUUCAAGAGUAUUCAAGAGUUCAUGGAAAGGCUAAUGAGACAGCUUAGCCCAUAAAAGAACUUAGUGCUAAGCUCGAGUACUUGGCUUUGAUCUCUGGGUCCCACAGAGUGGAAGGAGAGAACCAAUUCCCUAAAGUUGUCCUCUGAUCUCAAUAUGUGCACAUUCGCUCUUCCCCAUCUAGGUUAGUUAAUGCAAUAAAGAAAAACAAGUUUUUAGACUGAACAGAUAACUCUAACACUAUUUAACAAAAACCCCAGAACAACAGUUUCAGUUUUUAGAUCUGUUCUUUUAAAGCUUAUUGAGGAUCCCAAACUUUUGAUUGUUUGGAUUUUAUCUGAAUUUACUGUAUUAUUAAAAUUAAGGCCUCCAUGUGGUGGAACAGACCUGUAACCCCUAGUACUUGGAAAGUGGAGGCAGAGGCAUCAGGAGUUUAAACUUUUCCUUGGAUACAUAACAUAAAGAGCAUUUUUAGUGGAAAAAUAACCUAGAAACAAACAAAAAAAUUAUGAGCUGCAUUGUACUAUACAAGCUGUACUGAGGACACUGGAUCCUCAGAUCUAUUUUACACAUUCCAUUAGCUAUAGUAGCCAAGGCAUCAUCACAGGUCAUGUAGGAGCUGGAAAACAUGUGCAUUUUUGAGAGAGUGGUAAAAGGGGUGUUUAUGACUCUUGGGGUGACCUUGCUGAUCUCUUGAAGAGGCUGAGCUUUGAAGUCGUUGCUGUAGAGAAUAUGCAGGAGAAAUGUAAUGGCAAAUGACUUCCUCCAGAAAAGCUUAAGAUUUGUGAUACCACUCUGUUCUUCAUGCUGUUGCUUAGCAGCCCUUGUUUCAUCAUGAUAGAAUCCCUAGUCUGCUCUGAUGAUUUCAUCAUUAAUAUAUCCAUUUGUUUGCUGCCCAUCAUAAGAGAUAGGUUUUCUGCCUUCAAUUUGUUCUUCUCAGUUCUUUGAACUAUCUAUCUAUAUACUGUUAAUGUUUUCCUUGAAACGAUUCUUUGAAAUGAGAGAAUCUCAACCAAUGAUUUUGUAGUUGGCUAGCUUGGUAGUUUUGUUUUUUUGAAGAGGUUCUUGCCCUGAAGCCCAGGCUGGCUUUGAAGUCAGCCUCCUGAGUGCUGGGAGUGCCACUAAAUGGACCAAGUUGCUUGUUGUUUAAUAUGGGUUCAACAACUACAGCUCAGCUGACAUUUAAUUCAUUUCAGAGCUUUAUAAGAUCUACUCCCCAGCUCUUCUCCCUUCCCAGAAGAAAAGGAAUACGCAAUUUCCAGUGCAGAGCCAGCCAGCGUACCAAUGGAUGUACCUAGCUGUCCUUCCCAAAGCCUGUCUGCUGUUGACUCAUACUGGCUCUUCCUUGAAUGUGAAUGUGCACCUUCUCUGCUGGCUUCACUGUCAGACUUGAUCUGUAUGGGCACACAGAUGGCAGGGUGGGUCAGCUGACUUAGGACAGACCCGAAGGGAACAGCCCUUUUUUCCCCCUGUAAAUAUUUGGCAGGCUUUUUUUCUUGAGUUAAAGAGAAAUUGUUAAGACUACUAAGGACAUUACUAGGGCUAUUUAUGUUCUGUUAUCUGUCCAGAAAAACAAAACAAACAAAAAUCCCAGGUUUGAAUGAUGAAGCUUGCUUUGCUCUGCAGCCCACCUUCCUGCUGAGGACCUAACCCUUUGAAAGAUAUGCUGAUUUUUAUAUUGGGAGAUUUUUGACAGUGCCUCCCCAGAAUAACAUAGACUGUCCUUGAACUUUCGAUCUUCCUGUCUCAGCCUCAAGUGUCUACAUCACCAUCAGUGGCUCAUGUUGUUCCAUAACUGAAUUUUAGUUGUCUUUAUAUACUUUUAAUUCUUUGAGCAAUAUGGAUUUCAGUCUUCAUUUACAGAUCAGUAUUCAUGGAGAAAUAUCUCAAUGUGUAUAUUAAAGGGUGGGAUCCCACUUUACCCUUUACCUUCCAAACUGAAACUACAGAUGCUAACUUCUUAUCUAGAGUGUCUAGAAAUAGACAAGCAAAUAUAAGUCUCUCAUUCUCUCAUUUUCUUACACAUGAUAGCUACUUAGCAAUCUUUUUUUUGUUUGGUUGGUUUUUUUUUUUGGUCAUACUGCAUUUCUUGGAGCUUUCCACUUGAUCACGGUCCUCAAGCAGGAGCAGAAAAAGUCAGUAGAAUUUGAUCUGGUUAAAAUUUUCAUGUUAAAAUUUGUAAGACUUUAAAAGGCAAAAUAAUGGAUAAA